AUGUCCACGGGCUCUGUCCCCUUCGACUUCUUCAUCAUCACCACUGGAUCGAGGGCGAGGAGCCGCGUCGGCGUCGCCUCACGUCGUUGUCUUUGUCUACGGUCGCCAAGCGCCCCCACCAUCGAUCAGCACCACCUCGGCCUCUCCCGCUUCACGGAGACCUCCGUGAGACCCGCUAUGCUGGAGCCCAGGAGCCAGACGCCACCGUCGACAACGACUCCUACUACACUGGAGGUUCCUACUACUACAUGCAGGCCGUUGACGACGACUAGGAGUAGUUUAGGAGGAUCCCAGGCAGGAGGCCUGCGCCUCUUUCGAUCUGUAUCUCAGUUUGUGCUAGCCUUCUUAAGGCAACUUGUUUAA
rnacentral:rRNA from 1 species